AGGAAGCCCGAAAGAUGAGAGAAAGAGCCGCAUAGAGACAAAAGAGGCUUUUCAUUCCGCAAGCCAGGGUUCGCGAUACCACCGCUCAAUCCGCACCGAGGACCGUCUUUUCUUGAUAUGCUAUACGCUCGAUCGACCUCGCCAAUGUGUCACGUUAUCUUCAGUUUCUUUCCUGCUUUGUUUACUACUGUCAGUUGAGGAUUGAUUUUUUUUUUUUGUUGGUUCGUAGAGAUAUCGAGGAUAAGAUAAGAAUUCAUGGAGGAAGUUUACAGGUCACCUGAAUGAUAAGAGUUUGGAGGUUAUGUUGGCGGAAGAAUAUAUUUACUUGAGAAAUUAAGAGCAUAGGGUAUAAUAUAGACAUUUGGUAGCUGAGAUUAUAGCAUGGAAUCUAAAACGAUCCGAAACUAUCUGAAAUAUCAAAAGUAUUUGAAACGGCUAAAAUAUGCAACGCUCCUGAAUAUCUUAACCUAAAACAUAUAUACAUACUUGAUACUUAAGAUACCCUAUGUACUUGAGUGAUUAUUUGGGUACCUAACAUUUGGAUAAUAAUGUUACCACAGCUUUCAAACUUGAUGUAAGUUACUGUGUAUAAUAAAAUCUUCUAUUUUAUACUGAUACAACCGUCUAAAUAUUUAAAGUUCGGUAAAGACGAUCUAAUUCUAACAAACAUAGCCGACACCAUCUAACCUAAAAUGUUUACUUGGUAACAAACUCUGAGCUUUUCUGAAGACAAAACACUUGCGAGGAGGUUUCGAAGAGUAACUAUGUGUAUACACAGUGGACGUGACUUCUUUCCAUGUGGAAGCGAAAUUUAAAGGGGACCCGGUUACCGACGCCAUGAUACUACACUACCGACCUUUCUGCGAACAAACAGCCUGACUCGAACAUCUUGUAAACACUUAACAGAUAUUAAGUUUCUUCAUCUCUUGACGAAAGUAACACAGAAUCUACGCGGAACUUGCAAGAUUUCAAUUCUACCCGUUGA